GUAGGUGGCAAGCGUUGUCCGGAAUUAUUGGGCGUAAAGCGCGCGCAGGUGGUUCUUUAAGUCUGAUGUGAAAGCCCCCGGCUCAACCGGGGAGGGUCAUUGGAAACUGGGGAACUUGAGUGCAGGAGAGGAAAGUGGAAUUCCACGUGUAGCGGUGAAAUGCGUAGAUAUGUGGAGGAACACCAGUGGCGAAGGCGACUUUCUGGCCUGUAACUGACACUGAGGCGCGAAAGCGUGGGGAGCAAACAGGGAUUAGAUACCCUGGUAGUCCACGCCGUAAACGAUGAGCGCUAAGUGUUGGGGGGGUUUCCCGCCCCGUCAGUGCUGCAGCUAACGCAUUAAGCACUCCGCCUGGGGAUACGGUCGCAAGACUG
rnacentral:rRNA from 1 species